GGUUAGGCUUUUAUUUUUGCUGGGCUUCGUGGUUGCUUAAGACUUCUGCGCAAUUUGGAUGGGCUUUCCGUGUUCUUCUUCGCCUCUCCAGCACCCAUGUCGAUUAGGUUUUUCCAAUAGCUCUCUCAUCUUCUUCCUCAACCUAAGAAACUAUACUAUCAACAAAUAAUCAUCUUAAAAAAACUCCAUUAAUCUCUCACACACAAUCUAUAAUCAAUGCGAUUUCUGGAUCUACAAGGCGGUGAAGAUUCAUCUAUAAAAAAAGUAUGAUUUCCUUCUUAGAGAAUCAUCCUUUCUUUCUUCUAAGCUAACAAAUAAACUAAUUAUGUGAGAUAUGGCUAACGUUUUGGUAUUCCUCUCCACCUCCACUGUUCGAGUCCAGUUGCUCCUCUUGGUUCUCACUUCUCAGUUGUUUAUGUUCUGAAACAGAAAAUCAAAUCUGUAUUGAUUUUGGUGUACGGAACUGGUGGACCAGAGGAGGAAGAUAAUUGAUGGCCGCCUGAAACCUCUUCUUAAAGAGCAGUUCUUUGUUUACUGCAAGUUUCAUGUAGACUCUCACAAGGGUGAUUGCAAUAUGUAUUACUUAGAUUGCACCAACGGCGAGCUUUGCUCUCUUUGUCUUGCCCAUCACAAAGAUCACCUCACCAUCCAAUCCAAAUAGGUCGAUCUUUAGGUCUAUAUAGGUCUAUAUCAAUAGCCUGCCACAGUUCUUGGAUCCAUAACUUGACAAUAUUUUAUCCCUCAUCCAAUCAGCGAAUCUCCACUUAUAAAAAAGGAUGUUUGGAAAAGGUUAUUGGAGGAGACAGUGGUGGUGGUAGCCAACAUCAUUACGGCACUGAAACUCAUAGGAAGAAGAAACCUUACCAUCAUCACACCGCUCAACAAAUUCAACGACUUGAAUCGAGUUUCAAGGAGUGUCUUCAUCCAGAUGAUAAGCAGAGGAACCAACUUAGCAGAGAAUUGGGUUUGGCUCCAAGACAAAUCAAGUUCCGGUUCCAGAACAUAAGAACUCAGCUUAAUGCGCAACAUGAGAGAGCAGAUAACAAUGCACUAGAGGCAGAGAAAGACAAGAUUCGAUGCGAGAACAUAGCCAUUAGAGAAGCACUCAAGCAUGCUAUAUGCCCUAACUGUGGAGGUCCUCCCGUUAAUGCUUGUCUUUUCCAGUUAAAUUAAUGAGUUUUCCUUAAUCAAAUUUAAACUUAAUAUCAUUAAAUACAUCAUAUAUUUAAUGUAAUUUAUCACGGACGAGUACGGCCCAAUAAUGAACUUGAAUUUUAUUUUUU